UUUCCACUGGGGGAAAGGGGAGACAUGCCCCCCCCACUUUUUAAAAUCCCGUUUGUGUCCCCCCCACUUUCAAAUUCGUUUGAAAUAAGUU